UCAGACAGGUUCUCCACAACCCCUCUAGACCGUCAGCACCUUCAGGAUUCUGGACUGUACUGACUUCAACCUCAAAAAGUAGAAAUGCUUGCCUGGCUGCCUGCUGCAACAUAUUGAGGAUAGCAAGGAGAACAGGAAGCCACCUCUCUUGUUUCCAGAUGUGCCCCAGUGCCUUGCACCAUAUCUGGCACAAGGUGGGAGCUCAGGAAAAACCUGCUGCGUGGGAGAAGGAGUCAGUAACGCUGUGGGUCUGUGUGGAGACCCACUUCAGGAGUCUGAAGGAAGUCUUGGUAUAUUCUUGGCUACUACACAGUGAGUUCUGGAAGGGCAGGC